GCUGGUGCACAGGUGGUGCAUGGCUGUCGUCAGCUCGUGUCGUGAGAUGAUGGGUUAAGUCCCGCAACGAGCGCAACCCUCGUUCCAUGUUGCCAGCGCGUAAUGGCGGGGACUCAUGGGAGACUGCCGGGGUCAACUCGGAGGAAGGUGGGGAUGAGGUCAAGUCAUCAUGCCCCUUAUGUCCAGGGCUUCACACAUGCUACAAUGGCCGGUACAGAGGGCUGSGAAGCCGCGAGGUGGAGCGAAUCUCACAAAGCCGGUCUCAGUUCGGAUCGGGGUCUGCAACUCGACCCCGUGAA
rnacentral:rRNA from 1 species